AUACCAGUAUGUACACACAUACUUGUGUGCACAUAGGAACACUCCUCUCUUCUGCUUUACUUUUUUGCUCUGCAUGUAUCACAACCUAACACACUGUUUAUUUCGCGUAUUUAUCGUGGACUCUGGGUCCUCUCUUUCCAGGUUCAUAGGGUGGCUUGGCCACCAUCUCGGUCAGCUUGGGCAGCUGUAACAGAAUGCCACAGACCGGGCGGCUUCAACAACAACAUUGAUUUUGCCUGGUCCCGGAGGCUGGCGGUCCGAGGUCAGUGCCCGCGUGGCCAGGUUUGCUGAGGCCCUCUUCCUAGCUUGCAGAGUCAUUGUUCUGUCCUCACAGGACAGGCCAGCUCCGCUUCCUCUUCCAUGGUGGAGGCUCUGCCUUCCUGACUUGCGACCUCCCCGAAGUCCCGCGUCCUAAUACCAUUCCAUGGGGGCUAGGGUUUCGGCAUGGAUUUUAGGGGCACACAGCAGGCAGGCCAUAAGAGCCAUGCACCAGCUGCGUGACCCGGGGCAGCUACCACACUUCCGCCCCUCAUCUCCCCAGCUGUCAAGUGGAGACAGUAAUGUGUCCACAGUACGGUGCUGGGACAAUGACAAGACUUACUAUAAACAUCCCACCUGUUAGUGUUAAUACCGACUCUCCCUCUGCCGUUGUCUGUCUCCCCCAUUAGGGCAGAGGCCCUCCUCAGCCGCUCUCCGAUGCCCCCUCGCCCAGGCAGUGUCCUCAAAUAGCUGAUGCGCUAGCAGACUUUGCUGAACGAGCGAGGCACCCCUGGCAGCCCGCCUGGGCUUGAAUUUAGUGUGAGGGGCCCAGGUAGCCUCAGGUCCCCUCCCAUCCAGCAGGAAAAAUCAAACCUGGCUCAGGCUGCAGUGUAAACAGCAGGGACCCAGGGCCAUGCCAGGCCUUAGGGAACCCGUUUGAGAGGUUCUUCCUCUUCCGGGUCCAUGCGGAGGACCUCUCCGGAAAACUCUGGAAAGCUGAGCCCUGCAGCCCGCAGCCUCAAUGCCACACCUGCCCCAGCUCCCUCCCUGGUAGCGGCAGGCACCUUGUCUUGGCCUCAGAGCCCCUGUGGCCUGUCCAGACCAUGCUGCCACAUCUGGACCAUCGAGGAGGCGGGGCUGUGUGGGGGGCACUCAGUGGAUACGUGGCGGAAGCUGGGCUCCCGGAUCAGAGAAUCGCCGGGUCGGACUCCAGUGCCUCCACAUUCUUGCUGGGUGAUCCAGGCAAGUCGCUGGGCUUCUUGAUCUGUUGGAUAGAGUAAGCCCACCCUUCUGUUUACGUUAGUGGGUUUUCCAGUUUUGCCAACAUUUCUUGGAGGCUGCUCCACACUGCAUGCCGCAUGUGGCUCUAGGGCUGAACACUGCCUGGGUGGUUCCUGACUGUCGGGCUUUUCUCAGUCCCUCUGGGGCCACUGCUCUGUCCUAGGCUCUGUCCCAGGUCCAGGCUGUGGGGUCUGCCUGGAGCUGGGGGUCUCAUCUCUCCGGGCUGACAUCUGUGGAGAUGUCCCCAUUCUGGUCAUGCCUGGGCAUCGAUCCACGUGCGGAAUGGCCGUGUGCUCUGUGUUUGACAUCAAGGCCCCUGUGGGCCUGCCCCCUGCCGUGCCACUCCUGGGCCCACAGGGACCCCCGCUCUGUCAUACCCAGAUGCAGAGCUGCCUCAGGCUUGGAGUGCAGGCGCAGUGCCCCCAUCUGCCCUAGUUUCCUCCGGAGUUUCUGGGGCGUUGUCACUGGGGACCCAGCUGGGGGUGGGGCAGGGCAGGGCUGGCCUUCCCUCCGCUGGAGCAUUGCUGUGGAGUGGGCUUGGAGUGUGGUGGGCAGACACAUCACCCACGUAUCCCUGCCGAGCCUGGAGGUGAGAAGCAGCCCUGAUUCUUCUCUUCCACUCCCUGUGAGUCUCUCUGUCAUCCCUGCCCCCAGCCAGGAGCUUUGAACACUCACCCCAGCUGUGGCCAGAUCCGGGAAGGAUUGUGAGUGGCAGGAAGUCUGGGGAAACCCACAGUGGUUAAUAUCUCAAGAAUAUCAGCCCAUUUACAGCACUGACUCUGAUGUGGCCAGAGAGACAAAGAUGACAAGAGACUGCUUGGGCACUGUUCUCGAGGGCUCGAAUGCCCCACCAAGGGGCCAGUCCCAUUCCUUUUGGGGGUAGGGAGCCCCUGGAGUGCUGUGGCCACCACCUGGAUAUUGGAUGGGGGUGGGGUGGUUUGGUGGUCCAGGGAGAAAGGGUGCAGACCCUAACUUGGGCAGUACCUGGUUGAUGAGGUGUCUGGGCGCAGAUUCAGCAGGUGAGCGGGGGCCGAGGCCUGGGCUAUGGAGAGAACCAGGUGCCUCCCCUACCCCCCAUCCUGGCACAGUCCCUGGCACGUAGUAUGCACUUAGUAAGCUAGGGAUGCCUGAUGGCUCUCUAGGUGUCAGGUGUGGUGCCAGGUGCUCUCACAGCCCAUGAAGUCAUCUCAGGAGGCACAUCCCACCUGGCCACAUGCCAGCUGAGGGCCCUUGGCAAGUUGCUCCACCUCAGAGCCUGUCAUGUGGUAUGAUCACCCCUGCCUCGAAGGGUUGCCAGGAGGAAUAAAUGGAAGGGGCAUCUGAACAUGGCGGAUAACUAGCUAGCAAAACCAAAAAAGAACAGCGUUUAUGACAAGACUUGGCUAAACACUGCCCCGUGAAUCCCAAAGUACAAGUAGGUAGGGAUAAUUCUAGGGUUUUCAGGUUCUACCCAGGAAAGGGGGCUCUGGUCCCUCUGACCUCAGUUUACCUAAAUCUAUCUGGAGUUUCAUCACCCAAUCCACUUUCGGGGUGGGACUCAGCCUGGGGCAUGAGUAGGCCAGGCCUUUACAAAGGACCCCAGACUUGCAUGUCAGGCAUCUACAUCUAUACGGGAGGAAAAAGAAGGACACAGCUGGGCAGCCGAUGGACCUGAGAGCAGGUGAGCCCCAAACGGCCACACGAAUUCACCGGCAGCAUGUGCAGCCAUCUGAGGACGCCAGCUGGAGCCGCCAGGGGUCUCACCCACCCGAAAGCAGGUUUAGCCCCAUGUCUGACUGCCUACCAUCCCUGGACCCUGGACUUGGCAUCUUGCCGUCAGCGUCGCACACCAAAGCAGGCAUGCGAGGGAUGCAGGGCACAGAAUCAUCAGUUGAGCAUUUGUUAAAUACAUCAGGUCCGAACAAGCCAGGAUGCUCAGCUUUCGUGGUGAGGUGGCAAAAAUCAGCGUGAGAAUGAAAUGCUUUUGGAAAAACUAUAGCAGAUUUCCUUUUCAAAGCUCAUUAAAUACGGACUAGUGCUGUGCAAGAGAAAUAGAAUGCCGGCCGCAGAGGUAAGCUUAGCAGCCACGUUAAACAAAGUAAAAGAAACAGGUGACAUUCAG